ACGGGUUAUACAUCGCGUGCGGCAAUAAUAGGGGCAAUUUUGGCAUUUUUAGUCCUUGCCAGUCCUAAGGAUGGGCUCCAAGAUACCGGAAGAUAUUAUAUUGAUAUAUCGCAAAUCCGGUGCUUGCGUUCGCAGAUACUAAACGCUGAAGUAAUGUUCACUUCUAACGUUGAGACGCCGAGUUGGAAAAAUCCUAACGAUGCGACGGACCCAGAAAACUUGGUUUUUGUUUCUCUGGCUUUUUGUUGAUCUGGCGAAGCCUGUGGCCUCACGGAUGAUUGCGGAUGUUGUACCGAGGGAUCCGGUUCAGGCCUAGCAGAAUUGGCUCGAAGAUUUGUAGCAGAACGUGGCCGAUUCUGAGUUCCUGGUAUUUCGUGAAAUGCGACUGAUAUGGAAGGCUACGACUGGAGAUUGCUGGAUGGGGAAAAGCUGGAAUUCUGGUGGACGGCUGCUUGGAAUGUCGCAGAAUAUCCAUGCAUAAUGAUGAGUGUACAAUUUAAACGUUCAAAAAGCAGCGUUACGUAGUGCAUGUUGCGUAGACUAAAUCGCAUUGAUUACCGAUAGGGAAAGUCAUCGCACGAAAAGCGACACACAAAGAGCACGAAAGAGUACGCCGAGAAGAUUUUAAAAUUAAUGGCAUGCGCGUUUGUAUCGUCCAGUUUAGCACAAAAAUAGCGUAAACUUUAACACGCUCUUUGUCUCCACGUUUCUCUUUUCCCUUUUUCGUUUCGUCCUUUCAUAUCCGCUUUUGUUCCUUUUUGAUUCCGCCGCCGAGGACAUUCUUUCGAGCGCAGCCAUAAAGUCUAACGAAACUGUCGCGACAACUUAAUACGGUCACCGUUGCUGCAGAAACGAGCUCGAGCGCUCA